CCUACGGGAGGCAGCAGUAGGGAAUCUUCCACAAUGGACGAAAGUCUGAUGGAGCAACGCCGCGUGAGUGAAGAAGGGUUUCGGCUCGUAAAGCUCUGUUGGUAGUGAAGAUAGAUAGAGGUAGUAACUGGCCUUUAUUUGACGGUAAUUACUUAGAAAGUCACGGCUAACUUCGUGCCAGCAACCGCGGUUAUACGUAGGUGGCAAGCGUUGUCCGGUUUUAUUGGGCGGAAAACGAGUGCAGGCGGGUAAAUAAGUCUGAUGUGAAAGCGUUCGGUUCAACCGGUGAAUUGCAUCAGAAACUGGUGAACUUGAGUGCAGAAGAGGAGAGUGGAACUCCAUGUGUAGCGGUGGAAUGCGUAGAUAUAUGGAGGAACACCAGUGGCGAAGGCGGCUCUCUGGUCUGCAACUGACGCUGAGGCUCGAAAGCAUGGGUAGCGAACAGGAGUAGAUACCCUGGUAGUC
rnacentral:rRNA from 1 species